AUUGAACGCUGGCGGAAUGCUUUACACAUGCAAGUCGAGCGAAGCGAUUUUAAGGAAGCUUUCGGGUGGAAUUAAAAUUGACUGAGCGGCGGACGGGUGAGUAACGCGUGGGUAACCUGCCUCAUACAGGGGGAUAACAGUUAGAACUGACUGCUAAUACCGCAUAAGCGCACAGUGCUGCAUAGCACAGUGUGAAAAACUCCGGUGGUAUGAGAUGGACCCGCCUCUGAUGAGGUAGUUGGUAGGGUAACGGCCUACCAAGCCGACGAUCAGUAGCCGACCUGAGAGGGUGACCGGCCACAUUGGGACUGAGACACGGCCCAAACUCCUACGGGAGGCAGCAGUGGGGAAUAUUGGACAAUGGGGGAAACCCUGAUCCAGCGACGCCGCGUGAGUGAAGAAGUAUUUCGGUAUGUAAAGCUCUAUCAGCAGGGAAGAAAAUGACGGUACCUGACUAAGAAGCCCCGGCUAACUACGUGCCAGCCGCCGCCGUAA
rnacentral:rRNA from 1 species